CAUUAAGUGGCUGAGACUAAGCAUUAGAUUUUUAAUCUAACCACGAUAAGAUAAUCAUUAUCCUUAAUGA
rnacentral:tRNA from 1 species